rnacentral:tRNA from 1 species
GGCCGCAUAACUCAGUGGUAGAGUGCGUGAUUCCAGCUUUGGAACUUCCACGAAGUCAUCCGUUCGACUCGGGUUGUGGUCA